CAUAGCCGUGGCGGAAACGUCCGGUACAUCAUGCACUACAAAUCCAACGUGUUGUGGGGUAGACGCCAUUUUUAGUAGCGAAUUUAUUUUUGCUAGGUAGCGGUAGCGAAGCGAUGGGUAUUGGCAGAAUUUGGUCUUGAAAGAGGAAUUUGGUUAAGGUGUAUUGGACAGUGAUGGUGAGUACAAAAUUCCAACAUAAUAAAUUUAUUUAUUUAUUAUUUCAGUUUCCCAACGGGAAAGUUUUCUCGAAAACCCCACGAAUUUUCGAAGAUCCUAUGAAGAAUGUAUUUUCACUAAACCGAAGAAAUAUUGGACAGGAUAUGGAGAAACCUGAAAGAUCUACACAGCCAUCAAAGACAAUAUAGGGAAAACUGGAAGAGGUAGAGUUUACUAGGAAUAUUAUCACCAGAUUGAUUAAAUACAUAGGGAGGACAAAACAGUUAAUCUCCCUAACAUAAUACCUCUACAAUGGUUCCAGGCAUAAUGAAAAAAAGCCCCUUAACAGGUGGAAACCACUCCAAUCAGAGCAACAUGUGUAUCCCUGUAAGUACCUUGGCUAGGAAGUCGAAGAGUUUAAUGUUUUAUCUACGAAGAAGGCUAACAAAUAUCGAGGAAGGUCGAGUACAAGAAAUUAACCUCUUACGAAAUGCCAUUGAAAGAAGUAAGAAAAUCCAAGAGGAAAGAAAUAAAAUUUUGCACUUACUAAAAAAAGAACAAUAAUUUGAAAAUAUA